rnacentral:rRNA from 1 species
AACGAACGCUGGCGGCAUGCCUAACACAUGCAAGUCGAACGAAGCCUUCGGGCUUAGUGGCGCACGGGUGCGUAACGCGGGGGAAUCUGCCCCUUGCUUCGGAAUAACAGUUAGAAAUGACUGCUAAUACCGGAUGAAUUCUUCGGACCAAAGAUUUAUCGGCAAGGGAUGAGCCCGCGUAGGAUUAGGUAGUUGGUGGGGUAAAGGCCUACCAAGCCGACGAUCCUUAGCUGGUCUGAGAGGAUGCUCAGCCACACUGGGACUGAGACACGGCCCAGACUCCUACGGGAGGCAGCAGUGGGGAAUAUUGGACAAUGGACGCAAGUCUGAUCCAGCAAUGCCGCGUGAGUGAUGAAGGCCUUAGGGUUGUAAAGCUCUUUUACCAGGGAUGAUAAUGACAGUACCUGGAGAAUAAGCUCCGGCUAACUCCGUG